rnacentral:lncRNA from 1 species
UGGGUGGGGGUCCCCCGGGGAGCACAGCGCAGUGCUAGGGCCCCUGUAGCAGAUUCCCAGGAGACACACACCCAGCUGGGCCUGCUGACACUAGCCCUGCAUUCCCACACCCCCUCCCCUGGCCCUCUCAGCUGCCUUGUCCUCUCCUGGUCAGCUGCCUGGGGACACUGUCACGAUGCCUGGCCCCUGACCUUGCCCGAAGCUCCUCGGUGUCUGGACAUUCAGCCCGACAUGCUCUGAGGUUUGGGGCAGGUCCAGCACUCUGUGGGUCCACCCCAUCAGCCCUCAGGGUGGGACUCAUGCAGCCACAGUUUGAGAGUUCCAGGAACCACAAGUCCUGAGUCAGCGGGCACCUGACCCCUUAUGUCACCUGCCCCAGGUGGAAGGAGACGCUACAGGGACCAAGCAUGCCCCACCUUCGCUUCCGGGACCACAGAGCCCCUGGAGCCUGCACGCCACGGAGUCUCCCACUGAGGAGUGAGGAGGCCUCUUGUGGGGACAGAUCUGGAAUGAGUGGCAUCCAAACCUGACUCAUAUUUCCAACUUUAUUAAUUUUUGCAAGACUUCGGAGGGUGCUCUGUGGCGAUUA